ACGGCGUCAUCAACUCCAGCAUUCAAGUAAAAAAAAAACAUGGCCCAAUUUAUUGGUCGCAAUUGGCAGAUCAACAUAUGACACUGAAGUUGAUAUUGAUUUAAGAAUAGAAAGUCAUGCUAACAUGAUACUGUUUGAUUUAGGGAUGCACCAGGACAACUCUGUUGUUUUUGUUUCUCUCGAGAAUUUGGGAAGUGAUUUAAAUUUCAACAAUGACACUUUUAGAAGCUUAUA